rnacentral:rRNA from 1 species
CCUACGGGCGGCUGCAGUGGGGAAUAUUGCACAAUGGGCGCAAGCCUAAUGCAGCCAUGCCGCGUGUGUGAAGAAGGCCUUCGGGUUGUAAAGCACUUUCAGCGGGGAGGAAGGCGUUAAGGUUAAUAACCUUGUCGAUUGACGUUACCCGCAGAAGAAGCACCGGCUAACUCCGUGCCAGCAGCCGCGGUAAUACGGAGGGUGCAAGCGUUAAUCGGAAUUACUGGGCGUAAAGCGCACGCAGGCGGUCUGUCAAGUCGGAUGUGAAAUCCCCGGGCUCAACCUGGGAACUGCAUUCGAAACUGGCAGGCUAGAGUCUUGUAGAGGGGGGUAGAAUUCCAGGUGUAGCGGUGAAAUGCGUAGAGAUCUGGAGGAAUACCGGUGGCGAAGGCGGCCCCCUGGACAAAGACUAACGCUCAGGUGCGAAAGCGUGGGGAGCAAACAGGAUUAGAUACCCUAGUAGUC